rnacentral:tRNA from 4 species
GGCGCGAUGGCUGAGUGGUCAAGCAGCGGACUGCAAAUCCGUGCACGCCGGUUCGAUUCCGGCUCGCGCCUCCA